rnacentral:rRNA from 1 species
GGGUUGUGAGGUUAAGCGACUAAGCGUACACGGUGGAUGCCCUGGCAGUCAGAGGCGAUGAAGGACGUGCUAAUCUGCGAUAAGCGCCGGUAAGGUGAUAUGAACCGUUAUAACCGGCGAUUUCCGAAUGGGGAAACCCAGUGUGACUCGUCACACUAUCAUUAACUGAAUCCAUAGGUUAAUGAGGCGAACCGGGGGAACUGAAACAUCUAAGUACCCCGAGGAAAAGAAAUCAACCGAGAUUCCCCCAGUAGCGGCGAGCGAACGGGGAGGAGCCCAGAGCCUGAAUCAGCAUGUGUGUUAGUGGAAGCGUCUGGAAAGGCGCGCGAUACAGGGUGACAGCCCCGUACACAAAACGCAUGUGCUGUGAGCUCGAUGAGUAGGGCGGGACACGUGGUAUCCUGUCUGAAUAUGGGGGGACCAUCCUCCAAGGCUAAAUACUCCUGACUGACCGAUAGUGAACCAGUACCGUGAGGGAAAGGCGAAAAGAACCCCGGCGAGGGGAGUGAAAAAGAACCUGAAACCGUGUACGUACAAGCAGUGGGAGCCCCACCACCAAAGCAUUCUCUGGUGUUGAAGGCCCUGCAAAGCAGCAUCGCGGUGGCGGAGCGUCGUUUGCGACGCCCAACACAC